CGGGCGUGCCUAACACAUGCAAGUCGUACGAGAAAGUUGGCUUCGGCCGAUGAGUACAGGUGGCGCACGGGUGAGUAACGCGUGGAUAAUCUGCCCUUAAGUGUGGAAAUAACGUACCGAAAGGUGCGCUAAUACCGCAUAAUGCCUGGCAACAUAAGUUGUCCGGCCAAAGAAGGCCUCUGCUUGCAAGCUUUCGCUAAAGGAUGAGUCCGCGUACCAUUAGCUAGUUGGUGGGGUAACGGCCUACCAAGGCGACGAUGGUUAGCUGGUCUGAGAGGAUGAUCAGCCACACUAGGAACUGAGACACGGUCCAGACUCCGUACGGGAGGCAGCAGUGAGGAAUAUUGCGCAAUGGGGGCAACCCUGACGCAGCAACGCCGCGUGAGUGAGGAAGGUUUUCGGACUGUAAAGCUCUGUCGAGCGGGAAGAAGUGUACCAUGGCUAAUAUCCAUGAUAUUUGACGGUACCGCUAGAGGAAGCACCGGCUAACUCCGUG
rnacentral:rRNA from 1 species